rnacentral:lncRNA from 1 species
UUUGCAGCUGACAAGUGUCCUUGGGACAAGUUAGCUGAUGGAAAUUUUGAUUUCCUUGGGUAUAUUUGUUCCCUAGGAGGAUUCAAUUUGUUCUUGGGGGUUUAGAACUUAGUUUUAGAGAGAGAGAGAGAGAGUUGCCUUAAAGGCUUGAAACUUGAAUCUCCUCCAUUUAUGAACCCUAACUGCCAAACCUUCCUCAUGCAUUAAACACCCAAUCAUUGUCUAUUAGGGUUGCAUUGUUUUAAGGUUUUGCAUUUAAGUCUUGGUCUAGUUUUGAGUUUUCAAUUCGGUUUUAGACCAAACUUUUGGAUUCAAGUUAGAUUCUUCCUUUAAUUGUUUGACUGGAGAAUCUGACUAGUCAUUUGAAUCUAGAUUUCAUGUGCAUAUAUCAUAAAAUCAUAUCACAUCAUUGAUCGUGUUGAUCUUGGUGCCCCAAGGUGAUGAGCUCAUGAGGAGCUGCUACUUUGUGAAGACCGAAGGAGUUCAUCUCGUGUAAGGCAAGGUUGCACAAAGGUAAAGCUGCUAUGUAGAUAUGGAUCUAGGAAUUGAGCUUCUGUGGUCUUUGUAUGAACUUUUGUUUACACUAGUGAAUUGGACUCAGUGGAGGUGAGUUUUUCCGGCCAAAAAUCUCUAGUGUUCAAGUUAUGUUUAUUGUGUCACACAUCAUAUAUACACAUACAUGGGACAUAUAUCUGUUCAACAUUUAAAUGGUAUGUACUCACUUGACACAUUAAUAACUUAAAACAAUCUAUAGCCUUGCUGAGUAGGAUAGUUUAUCGACUAACAAAUCUACCUUAGUUGACUAGUAGGCUUUACUAGUCAGACUAGUAGGCUUUACUAGUCAGUCUAGUAGAUUAUAAUUUUUAUAUACAGGAUAUUCCAUUUGAUACCAAUUUCAAACUAAUUUGGAUUUGGAUAUUUAACUCUGGAGCGGUUUUUACAUGUAAGGUCAAAUUUUUUUUUUUAUAUUGAAAGAAUUUAUUUCUUUCAAUGGACUUGUUUGUCAUGAUGAGAGGGGUUAAUUUUGACUUAGAACAAAAUUGAAUAUUUUUGCUAUAAAAUUAAUAGAAUAAGUGGUCAUGAAAAUUGAAUGGAAAAAUGUUAAUCUAUGACUUCAAAGAUUAUUCUUUGUUGUUUGCGUAACUUUAGGCAUUUUCGUAAUAUCCGGACAGUCCCUGCUUUCUUAUAUGUUUAGGAUAAUGCUAGGGAGAUCAAAAUUUUAAACUAAGUUUGCAAAUCAAAUGUUGUCACUUAUGGGAAAUAAACAUGUUAAUUAACACUUAAGUAAUAAUCCAAUUCUCAACAAUCACAUCAUUUGGUUUGCGAAUUUAGUUUAAAAUUUUGAUCUUCCUAGCAUUAUCCAUUUAUUGUUAUUUAUGUUACUGUAUAUGUGAGGUGUGGAUUCCGUUAUGGACUAUGUGGUUCCAUUUUGAUAUUUUUCGCACAUACCUAGUUUUCCAUAUAAAUACAUGCCGGGUUGGCAUGCAUGUAUAUACAUGUGAUGUAGAUGAGAACAACUCAUGAUCUUGGCUUGCUAAUUAGACAUGUACAUGCAUAUGACAGUUUGGUUAUCAUUGUAUGUAGACAUAAUUAAUACGUAACGACCAUAACCUGAAAUGCUAAUCAAUUAAUUAAGCAAACAAAUAUGAAAGUUGAAACAAAGAAGCAUUCUAUUCAAACAAUGAAAAAGCAUUUGUUUUCCUAUAAAAGCAUAUACCUAGAUUGCCCAUAUACUGAACCAAACUAUAUAUUGAGCAGCAUUGGAAAUAAUGAAGGCGUUCAUCUAUUUCGUGCUCUUCCUUACUCUGGCAUUUGGCCCGAUUAGCUACUAUGGUUACAUUCUUAGAAAAAAGCAACACCCUUAUUACAACUUUCAAAAUAACAACAAAUUCUCAAAUAAUUAAAAUACAAAACCUUUGUUAUUCCAAAGCAUAUUAAUGGUUUCAAAUUGUUUUCUUCAAGGACUGCCUCCUGCAUCACAACUAGACAAACACUAGCACAACUAAAGAAGGAGACUAAGAUAAAGAGCCAAGCUUUGUUCAUAAAUUCAUUCAAAUACAUCCUCCCCCCCCCCCCCCAACCUCCAUAAUUCUAGCAUUUUAAAAGGCCUAGCCAACUGCUUAAUUAAAUGCUAACACAACUUCCUAGUCCACUAAAACUUCAUAAAUGAUAAUCAAGUCCCAACCCAAAUACAUAAUUGAAACACAACUUACCAAAAUACAAAUUACUAAAAUAUAAAUUAGCCAUUUAAAUAUGAGAGCUUAAUGAAUUUCUUUUUCAUGCACUGCAUCAGACUCUCCAGGUGAGAAAGAACUCACCCACGAGUUCACUGAUUCAAAAUCGAUCCAUAACCCAAAGUGUUGUAACCAACUUUUCUUCGCAUGCUUAGUUUUCUUUUUCAAUCUAACAAACAACUUCUUUGCAUAACAGAAAAAAAUGGUGGUUAUUUCCAUAAGCUGCAAUAGUUUAUAAAGAUUUCUUGAGGAUGUAUCAACUUCCAAAUAUUGCAAUAACUCUUUUCGCUCUCCCAUUUUUUUGGUUACGUCAGUGUGCAUGAAGUCAUACCAAACCGGAUCAUGAAACUCAAUUGUAGGAGUAACUUCCACAACUUUAGGUUGCUCAUGUGUGGCAAUGUGUUGUGGCGUGCAUCCAUUUUUGAAUCCUAACACCAUAUCUCUAUUACCAGAAACCAUCAAUAUGUUGCUGCUUGUUUGAUCAACACAAGACUUCACAUCUAAAGCACAAGUAGAGGCCAAAAUAUCCCUUGUAGAAUCUGAUUUGCAAAUCCCUUCUUGGCAUAGACUUGUUGAGUUCUUUAGUGAUACAAAUUCAAUUGUUUUGUCCUGAAAAGUGUCGCGGUUGACAUUCUUCAAGUUCACUUCUUCAUUGUCAACAUAUUCAUAAAAAAUAGGUGGUACAAUCCAAUCAAAAGCACUAACCAUUUGAUCAAACUUGGGUUCUUUAUCGCAAUCAAAUUUCAUUUCACCGUAUUGAGUUUCUUCUUCAAGAGAAAUGCCAAGUUUAUCUUCCUUACACCUAAUUUCCAAAUAAGAAGGCAAAGAAAAUUGACUUACGUCCAGGUUCGAAACUUUGUUGAUUUCAAUUGGUGCUUCAACCUCAAACGCUAAUCCUUCAGCAUCAUUUGGUUUGUAAUCUUCCACACAAUCCCUUGCAACCUUAAGCCAAUUAUGAAAUCUUGUCAGCCCAAGCUUCCAUAAUUGAUUUUUAUUCCCUUGAGACGAACGGUGUUGUGGAUUGUAAAACCACCUCAAUUCUGCCUCAUGAUCAGAAUUACUGCGUCUUGACCCACCAAGCUUCAUACGAGCUUCUUGGUGUUCGAUUCACCUACUAAGUUGCUCAACUUGUCUUCGAAGUGCUUGAAGUUCUUUGUCUCUUUCAUCCCUAGAUUCCACGAUGCUCAUAUGGUGCUCAUGCUUUCCUCUACCUCUUUGUCCCACCAUUUUACAUAAACGGUGCGGAAACGACCCAAAGAACGUAGCAAAGCUCUGGUACCAAAUGAUGCAAGAGAAGCCAAGGAUUCUUGAGGAGAGGAGGGAUAGAUGACCUGGGAUUUGCUCAACUAGGGGAAAUGGAGCUUGCUCACAUCACUAAUCGUGGAUUCGCUCACACAACCAAGCCAAAUGCUUGAUAAUGAUGCUGGAGGCAGGCCUUGAAGAAAACAAUUUGAAACCAUUAAUAUGCUUUGGAAUAACAAAGGUUUUGUAUUUUAAUCAUUUCACCUCCUUGAGUGUUAAGGUGGCAUCAUAUUUUUUUUUUAUUUUUUAGAAAGCGAGUAAAUUGUUACGCCCUGAAUCUGAAGUCAAUAGAAAAAAUUUAACACCGCACUUGAUGCGCGAAUAAAAAGUAAUGUAAUAAGAACAUAUACAUCUCUUCGUUUACAUCAUAAUGUUUCACAACCAAACAUUCACACUCUACUUAUGUUACAAAAUUUUUGUCUAUACUUCCCAUGAAAGUCUACUUUUCAGGUCUCGAAGUCAACAACUGUCAAAUUAUUCAUAAGGGGCGAGCUUCUGGCUCAUCAGGGCAAAAACCACAAUGCAUAUAAUACAUCGGAAUCAAUGACGAUGCAUCAAUGUAGUAUUUCCUCUUCAGUCUAUUAUGUUAACCCAGUUAACAAAUAACCUUGUUUCUCUUUUCAUUAGUCAUCUCGUCAAAUUCCCAAUCCCGAACCCAAACCCGAAUAGAUGGUUUUAUCGGACUCUAACACAAGGGGCUUCGCUCCCUUAUUUCUUGCAUUUUGGGCUGAACAUAGGUCUUUUUACCCCGAGAGUGGACUAAACUACUUUUAGUUUCAUAUUUCCACAAAUCUUAUACCUUCUCAAUUUGGGACUAGUGCAUGAUCUUUUGUUAUUCAAUUCCAUGGAUCCUUCCCCACUGAAUCCACAAUACAUAUGACAUAGUUAUCGUUCAUGAUAACUAUGAAACAAUAUUCAAAUGACAUUCAAACCAAUAAUAUUCUUCAAGAAACAUCAGCCAAAGACAAGCUCAAGCAUUUGAAUCAUGAUAUCAUGUAGUCAUAAAAUUGAACCAAUUAACAUACACAAUUGUGUGUAUGAAACCGAUUAAUAUACGAAGGUUCCCCGAGAAUUUUCCUAGCUUGAUUCCAAAGUUUAGCAUGCUCCCACAAUUCAUGACGUCACCUUCACAGUGUGUCAAUGUUUUUUUCAUGAGUAACGUACUAGAGUUCCUAAUCCAAUAAAAAUACAAAAGGUUAGUAUAUAAUCCUUAUAUAGUAACCAGGUUAUAUUCCUUUUUAUUUUGUUAGGGUCAAAUACAUUUCUUGUAGUCUAAUUUGGUACCCUACUAUAUGAUACUUGCACUCUUGUCCUAAAUAAUUUUCUGAGUUUACAAAACGCCCUUAAACUUUUGGGUAUAUACACCUUGGCCCCUUUAUAAGAAAGAUAUAAUUGCCCCCAAAACUGAAACUAUUUUUAUAGUUCAGUCCUGUUAUGAAACCAGCGGGUUUCAUAAAUGUUUUUUUCCCACAAUAUUGAAUUCAACUUUCAAGCCAAAAUACAAUCCAUAAUGGUACAAACUAAGAACAAUACUUGGCUACUAAAAGAUGAGCAGGAACUCCUACUCAAAACUCUUUGUGUUUUAUGUUGGUAUAUGGUCCAGCCCAUGAUCAAUGUUCUAGAUUAUUCUAGUAAGCAAGAGAGAUGGCUGG